GAUGAACGCUAGCGGGAGGCCUAACACAUGCAAGCCGAGCGGUAUUGUUUCUUCGGAAAUGAGAGAGCGGCGUACGGGUGCGUAACACGUGUGCAACCUGCCUUUAUCUGGGGGAUAGCCUUUCGAAAGGAAGAUUAAUACUCCAUAAUAUAUUGAACGGCAUCGUUUAAUAUUGAAAGCUCCGGCGGAUAGAGAUGGGCACGCGCAAGAUUAGCUAGUUGGUGAGGUAACGGCUCACCAAGGCGAUGAUCUUUAGGGGGCCUGAGAGGGUGAUCCCCCACACUGGUACUGAGACACGGACCAGACUCCUACGGGAGGCAGCAGUGAGGAAUAUUGGUCAAUGGGUGCAAGCCUGAACCAGCCAUCCCGCGUGAAGGACGACUGCCCUAUGGGUUGUAAGCUUCUUUUGUAUAGGGAUAAACCUACCCUCGAGAGGGUAGCUGAAGGUACUAUACGAAUAAGCACCGGCUAACUCCGUG
rnacentral:rRNA from 1 species